rfam:Ornithorhynchus anatinus chromosome 1, whole genome shotgun sequence.
CUCCUCUCAGGAUCACACCUGGAGAGUUUCCAGUACUCUAUCAGUCUCGGCUAGGGGCGGGAGAGUCAAGCAGAGGCCUGUCCAUUCCAUUCCUAGCUUGGGCAGUGGCUAGCCAGUGGAAGGCAGUCUGCUACAAUU